rnacentral:rRNA from 1 species
UACGGGGGGGGGCAAGCGUUGUUCGGAAUUACUGGGCGUAAAGGGCUCGUAGGUGGCCAACUAAGUCAGACGUGAAAUCCCUCGGCUUAACCGGGGAACUGCGUCUGAUACUGGAUGGCUUGAGUUCGGGAGAGGGAUGCGGAAUUCCAGGUGUAGCGGUGAAAUGCGUAGAUAUCUGGAGGAACACCGGUGGCGAAGGCGC